rnacentral:rRNA from 1 species
AUUGAACGCUGGCGGCAGGCCUAACACAUGCAAGUCGAGCGGAUGAAGGGAGCUUGCUCCUGGAUUCAGCGGCGGACGGGUGAGUAAUGCCUAGGAAUCUGCCUGGUCGUGGGGGAUAACGUCCGGAAACGGGCGCUAAUACCGCAUACGUCCUGAGGGAGAAAGUGGGGGAUCUUCGGACCUCACGCUAUCAGAUGAGCCUAGGUCGGAUUAGCUAGUUGGUGGGGUAAAGGCCUACCAAGGCGACGAUCCGUAACUGGUCUGAGAGGAUGAUCAGUCACACUGGAACUGAGACACGGUCCAGACUCCUACGGGAGGCAGCAGUGGGGAAUAUUGGACAAUGGGCGAAAGCCUGAUUCAGCCAUGCCGCGUGUGUGAAGAAGGUCUUCGGAUUGUAAAGCACUUUAAGUUGGGAGGAAGGGCAGUAAGUUAAUACCUUGCUGUUUUGACGUUACCAACAGAAUAAGCACCGGCUAACUUCGUG